rnacentral:rRNA from 1 species
CCUACGGGUGGCAGCAGUGGGGAAUAUUGCACAAUGGGGGAAACUCUGAUGCAGCGACGCCGCGUGAGUGAAGAAGUAAUUCGUUACGUAAAGCUCUAUCAGCAGGGAAGAAAAUGACGGUACCUGAGUAAGAAGCACCGGCUAACUACGUGCCAGCAGCCGCGGUAAUACGUAGGGGGCAAGCGUUAUCCGGAUUUACUGGGUGUAAAGGGGGCGUAGACGGUGUGCCAAGUCUGGAGUGAAAUGCCGGAGCUUAACUGCGGAACUGCUUUGGAAACUGUCGAACUAGAGUGCAGGAGGGGUAAGCGGAAUGCCUGGUGUAGCGGUGAAAUGCGUAGAGAUUAGGAGGAACACCGGUGGCGAAGGCGGCUUACUGGACCGUAACUGACGUUGAGGCUCGAAAGCGUGGGGAGCAAACAGGAUUAGAUACCCUAGUAGUC